GAUGAACGCUGGCGGCGUGCCUAAUACAUGCAAGUCAAGCGAACAGAUGAGGAGCUUGCUCCUCUGACGUUAGCGGCGGACGGGUGAGUAACACGUGGAUAACCUACCUAUAAGACUGGGAUAACUUCGGGAAACCGGAGCUAAUACCGGAUAAUAUAUUGAACCGCAUGGUUCAAUAGUGAAAGACGGUUUUGCUGUCACUUAUAGAUGGAUCCGCGCCGCAUUAGCUAGUUGGUAAGGUAACGGCUUACCAAGGCAACGAUGCGUAGCCGACCUGAGAGGGUGAUCGGCCACACUGGAACUGAGACACGGUCCAGACUCCUACGGGAGGCAGCAGUAGGGAAUCUUCCGCAGUGGGCGAAAGCCUGACGGAGCAACGCCGCGUGAGUGAUGAAGGUCUUCGGAUCGUAAAACGCUGUUAUUAGGGAAGAACAAAUGUGUAAGUAACUAUGCACGUCUUGACGGUACCUAAUCAGAAAGCCACGGCUAACUACGU
rnacentral:rRNA from 1 species